AGGGCUGGAAAGUGAAGUUUAGGCAUGGUUUGAGAAAAAUAAUAAAGUAGUUGAUUGUUUGGCUAAGACAACAAUAAAGAAGUUAAAUCAAUUAGUUCCUCUCACAGUAUGUUACAAAACUGCUAGAAAAAGAUCAUGUUCAUAAUUUACUGCAUGAGUAGGCCUCUAUCCCCAUACAUUAGUUUUUUAGGCACGUAUUUU
rnacentral:lncRNA from 1 species